AUUUAAAUUAGUUUUAAAAUUUAAAAUUUAAUACAUGAGAUGUAUUAGAUCUUUUGUAAUAAUUUUACGAAAAUUGCGAUUCUUGAAAUAAAUAAAGAUUUAUUUUAAAUUAAUCCGAAACCCAAUUAAUUAGAAUUCGAAUUAGAGAAUUUAUUUUUAUAUGCAUGUGAUGUAUAUGAGGUGAUGAUCAUGGAUAGCGACUUUGUGAUGUGCAUGUAUCAUGUGAUAAUGUGAAUUGUUGUAAUUUAAUAAGGAUCCAGUAUUAGAUUAUAUUUUUUUGGUGCCUGCGCGUGCCAAUUAAAUUAUGUAAUUUGGAGACCUGCGAGUCUCAUUAAUUUUAUGGGUUGUAAAGUUAUUGUUGUAAAAUUAAUAAGGGAAAAGGGUAGUUUAGGUUCCAGAGGGAUUCGUUGUAUUCAAGAGUUGAUGCGAUGCUGAUCAAGUUUGGACCAGAUGCUGAUUAAGGGAGAAGACAAGAGUUGAUCAACUCAAAUCCGAUCGAGACGCAGAAUAAGAAAAAGUUUUUCU
rnacentral:lncRNA from 1 species